AAGAAUUCAUCAACAGAAGAAUAGUAAUAUAAGAAAGACUUGGAAAAAUUGACUUCAUUAUUAUAUAUUUUCUUAGCCAGAGGGUUUUCUUGAGAUCCGAGAGUGCUUAUUCUCAUAUUCAGACCUUCUUCAAUAAUACUACCAUCGACUUUAGAAGCCUCAAAUCUCAUUACUGAAGUUUCCCCUGUGCUCUGUGCUGUCUCUCUGUGUGCUCCAUUUUCCCGGUAAGAGCGUGCGUUGAUUCAUCCUUUAAAGUAUUCUCUCAAUUUGCUAACUUUGAUUUGUUAUUCUCCUUCCCCCCCCCCCUCAAAGUGAUUGAUUUGAACAGAAAAACUGAAAAAAGAAGACUACUCUCUUAGCUUGUUGAAGCCUGAAGGCAUCGUCAAGCAAUCUGCAAUCUGCAAAAAUAACUUGUGUGCCCUGAUCUCUGAUCAUAUUUAGUUCUUCAUUGUAGCUGUCACGCGUCUGAUUGCUUUGUCUUUCUACAAAAUUAACAAAAAAAUUUACAAAAAAAAAGCAAAAAAGAAGACUUCAGUACUUCACCGUCCAAGAAUCAUCAGAGCAACGUCGGCACCUCUGGGGGAAAAAAAACAGAGAAGGUUUUAUACACUGAUUAGUUCGUGUUUGGGUUCUUGAUUUAUGGUUUUCCAUUCGGUGGAUUGUUUUUAAUUUCUACAAAUUAAAAAAGAAAUGUCAAAGGAUCAUUCAAAAGUAUUGGAAUCUCUCAAGAAAGGUUAAUAUUCUGGUCCUUGACCUCUACCAAUAUUGAGCCAUUUGG